rnacentral:rRNA from 1 species
CUACUCUUGACAUCCAGAGAAUUCGCUAGAGAUAGCUUAGUGCCUUCGGGAACUCUGAGACAGGUGCUGCAUGGCUGUCGUCAGCUCGUGUUGUGAAAUGUUGGGUUAAGUCCCACAACGAGCGCAACCCUUAUCCUUUGUUGCCAGCGCGUAAUGGCGGGAACUCAAAGGAGACUGCCGGUGAUAAACCGGAGGAAGGUGGGGAUGACGUCAAGUCAUCAUGGCCCUUACGAGUAGGGCUACACACGUGCUACAAUGGCUGGUACAACGGGAAGCGAAGCCGCGAGGUGGAGCCAAUCCUAUAAAAGCCAGUCUCAGUUCGGAUUGCAGGCUGCAACUCGCCUGCAUGAAGUCGGAAUCGCUAGUAAUCGCGAAUCAGAAUGUCGCGGUGAAUACGUUCCC